rnacentral:tRNA from 2 species
AAACUUAGGAUAACACCCCACAAACCGAAG